AACGAACGCUGACGGUGUGCCUCAUACAUGCAAGUCGAGCGGACUCAGUGAUGGGUUAGCGGCGGACGGGUGAGUAACACGUGAACAAUCUGCCCUCGAAUCUGGGAUAACAGUUCCAACGAGCUGCUAAUACCGGGUAGGUUAGUUUCGUCGCAUGGCGAGACUAAGAGAGUUCCAAUUGGAACGUUCGAGGAUGAGUUCGCGGCCCAUUAGCUAGUUGGCGGGGUAAAGGCCCACCAAGGCAACGAUGGGUAGCCGGCCUGAGAGGGUGAUCGGCCACAUUGGGACUGAGAUACGGCCCAGACUCCUACGGGAGGCAGCAGUAGGGAAU
rnacentral:rRNA from 1 species